GCCAGUGUGGUGUAGUGGUUUGAGUGAUAAACUAGGGCUCUGGACAACCAGGGUUCAAAUCCCUGCUCAGCCA